rnacentral:rRNA from 1 species
UACGUAGGAUGCAAGCGUUGUCCGGAAUUACUGGGCGUAAAGGGCUCGUAGGCGGCCAACUCAGUCGGACGUGAAAUCCCUCGGCUUAACCGGGGAACUGCGUCCGAUACUGGAUGGCUCGAGUGUGGGAGAGGGAUGCGGAAUUCCAGGUGUAGCGGUGAAAUGCGUAGAUAUUUGGAGGAACACCAGUGGCGAAAGCGACUUUCUGGGACAUUCCUGACGCUGAGGUUCGAAAGCUCGGGGAGCAAACAGG